rnacentral:rRNA from 1 species
AUUGAACGCUGGCGGCAGGCCUAACACAUGCAAGUCGAACGGAGUGGCGGACGGGUGAGUAAUGUCUAGGAAACUGCCUGGUGGUGGGGGAUAACGUCCGGAAACGGGAGCUAAUACCGCAUACUAUCAGAUGAGCCCAGGUGGGAUUAGCUAGUUGGUGGGGUAAAGGCUUACCAAGGCGACGAUCCGUAACUGGUCUGAGAGGAUGAUCAGUCACACUGGAACUGAGACACGGUCCAGACUCCUACGGGAGGCAGCAGUGGGGAAUAUUGGACAAUGGGCGAAAGCCUGAUGCAGCCAUGCCGCGUGUGUGAAGAAGGUCUUCGGAUUGUAAAGCACUUUAAGCGGGGAGGCGUUACCAACAGAAGAAGCACCGGCUAACUUCGUGCCAGCCGCCGCGGUAAUUC